rnacentral:rRNA from 1 species
UACGGAGGGUGCGAGCGUUGUCCGGAAUCACUGGGCGUAAAGGGCGCGUAGGCGGCUCGGUAAGCGUGCGGUGAAAGCCUGGGGCUCAACCCCGGGUCGGCCGUGCGAACUGUCGAGCUGGAGCACUGUAGAGGCAGGCGGAAUUCCGGGUGUAGCGGUGGAAUGCGUAGAGAUCCGGAAGAACACCGGUGGCGAAGGCGGCCUGCUGGGCAGUAGCUGACGCUGAGGCGCGACAGCGUGGGGAGCAAACAGG